GCCGGCAUAGAUCAGUUGGUAGAGCAACUGACUUGUAGUCAGCAAGUCUCGAGUUCGACUCUUGGUGUCGGCACCA
rnacentral:tRNA from 1 species